rnacentral:misc_RNA from 1 species
GAUGAAGAACGUAGCGAAAUGCGAUAAGUAAUGUGAAUUGCAGAAUUCAGUGAAUCAUCGAAUCUUUGAACGCACAUUGCGCCCGCUAGUAUUCUGGCGGGCAUGCCUGUUCGAGCGUCAUUUCAACCAUCAAGCCCUGUUUAGGCUUGUGUUGGGGCCCUGCGGUUGCCGCAGCCCCCUAAAUGCAGUGGCGGGCUCGUUGUCACUCCGAGCGCAGUAGCGUAUCUCGCUCUGGGCGUGGCGGCGGGUGCUAGCCGUGAAACACCCACUAAGGUUGACCUCGGAUCAGGUAGGAAUACCCACUGAACUUAAGCAUAUCAAUAAGCGGAGGA